rnacentral:misc_RNA from 1 species
GAUCCGUUGGUGAACCAGCGGAGGGAUCAUUACAGAGUUUAUUAUAACUCCUAAACCCAUGUGAACCUACCUUCUGUUGCCUCGGCAGGCAAGUCGUAUCUUGCUACCCUAUAGGACCCUAUCUUGUAAGACGUUACCUUAUAAGGUCCUAUCCGGUAGAGAGAUGCGGUACUACCUGCCGGUGGACUGAAAAAAAAAUUCUGUUUAAUAAAUGGUAUUCUGAAUCGUUAUAUGGAAAUUAAGUUAAAACUUUCAACAACGGAUCUCUUGGUUCUG